rnacentral:rRNA from 1 species
AGAGUUUGAUCAUGGCUCAGAUUGAACGCUGGCGGCAGGCCUAACACAUGCAAGUCGAACGGUAACAGGAAGAAGCUUGCUUCUUUGCUGACGAGUGGCGGACGGGUGAGUAAUGUCUGGGAAACUGCCUGAUGGAGGGGGAUAACUACUGGAAACGGUAGCUAAUACCGCAUAACGUCGCAAGACCAAAGAGGGGGACCUUCGGGCCUCUUGCCAUCGGAUGUGCCCAGAUGGGAUUAGCUAGUAGGUGGGGUAACGGCUCACCUAGGCGACGAUCCCUAGCUGGUCUGAGAGGAUGACCAGCCACACUGGAACUGAGACACGGUCCAGACUCCUACGGGAGGCAGCAGUGGGGAAUAUUGCACAAUGGGCGCAAGCCUGAUGCAGCCAUGCCGCGUGUAUGAAGAAGGCC